UUUCAAGCAACCCCUUCCUUUUCCAUUGCAUUGCCCAUUCAGCUAAGCUAACCUGAUCUCUUGGCAACCGUGGGUUAAUGGCAGGCCUUGCGCAUAAGGAUUCGAGGAGAACGACGCCGAAUGAGUAAACAUCCGAUUUUUCGGUUAGUUGCUGCCUCCUGAAAUACUCAGGGUCUAAGUACCCAAAGCUGCCUUUCACUGCAGUGCUAACAUGAUUCUGCCCCAUAGGUGUGUCUUUUGAUAGCCCAAAGUCAGCAACCUUGGCAACAAAGGCAUCAUCAAGCAAUAUGUUGGUGGUCUUAACAUCACGGUGAAUGAUUCCUUGUGCGGUACCGGUAUGAAGGUAGUGAAGCCCCCGAGCCGCUCCGAUGCAG
rnacentral:lncRNA from 1 species